GACGAACGCUGGCGGCGUGCUUAACACAUGCAAUUCGAACGGAAAGGCCCUGCUUUUGUGGGGUGCUCGAGUGGCGAACGGGUGAGUAACACGUGAGUAACCUGCCCUUGACUUUGGGAUAACUUCAGGAAACUGGGGCUAAUACCGGAUAGGAGCUCCUGCUGCAUGGUGGGGGUUGGAAAGUUUCGGCGGUUGGGGAUGGACUCGCGGCUUAUCAGCUUGUUGGUGGGGUAGUGGCUUACCAAGGCUUUGACGGGUAGCCGGCCUGAGAGGGUGACCGGCCACUUUGGGCCUGAGAUGCGGCGCAAACUCCUACCAGAGGCAGCCGUGGGGAAUAUUGCACGAUGGGCGGAACCCUGAUGCAGAGACGCCGCGUGCGGGAUACCGACAUGCGAGUUGUAAACCGCUUUCGCCUGUGACGAAGCGUGAAUGACGGUAAUGGGUAAAGAAGAACCGGCUAACUACGUG
rnacentral:rRNA from 1 species